rnacentral:lncRNA from 1 species
UGAAAAGAAGCCCUAAAAUUUUCAAUUGGUUCAUCUUUUCUUGCAACCACUCCCACCAACAAGAAGGCAGAAGCCCUAAUCUCUCUAGUCUCUUCCGUCAUUUUCUCUCAAAACCCCACGACGAUUUGACGAACUUCGUCUCUCUAAACCCAACGUCGAAGUCGAACGUCCACACUCCAGCUUCAGUGGUAGUCUGGUAGAGUAUGUAUACUUCGUUAUUUUCUAUUCGUAUUUUCUUUUUUUCUUCUUUUUUUCUUUUUUGUUAUAAAUGCAGAAACUGCAAAUCUGCAAUAAACUUCAGGAAUUAAGAAUUGCUUGGCCAUUCUCAAUUUUGGGUGUGUUUUGAUCGACUUAAAGGGAAAUAUAUCUAUGCAUUCGCAAGUCCCUUAUACAAAAUAGGAAAAGGCUCUUCCCUGUAUUCGUUAUGGAUGCCCUUCUUUUAUUGAGUGGGUUGCUUUGAAUUGAAACCCUGGAUGCGAAGAGAUGCUGUUUCUGGAUAUUAGGUGUCAUGCCGAGUCUGAUUAGAAAAUUUCUGGUUUACAAAUAUGGAUUUAAGCUCGUGAAUUUUAGGGGCCUUUUGAUUUCUCUUGAGGUUGCCAAUAGUUAAUUCCUGGAGGUUGUACUGGGGAAGAAGUUAAACUAAUAACUAGUGGAGUGGGUCGGGUGGGAGGGGGAUUAAUGUAAAUGUAAUUCAUCCAAUUUAGUUAAACUAAUAACUAGUCACUUUGUUUCAGCCACAUAUAUAUAAUUGUUAUUGGAUAGUUAUUUGAUGGAUAUUUGGUGGACUAUACUAUUUUAUGUUUUAAAUUUAUUGAUGUUGGAAGACUAUAUUAAUGUUGUUUUAAAUUUAGUGUUUUGGUGACUUUAAUAUUUGUUUACAGGUUGUCCCAACCCGACCAACCCAAUCCAAACUGACUGACAUUUGGUUGGGUUGGGUUGAACAUCAAUCAAACCGAUCACGUUGGGUUGGGAUAAAAAUUGACCCAACCCAACCCACGCCCACCCCUACUCACAGCAUUCCCAUGAAAACAAAAAGGUUGAAGGUUGACACUUUCUUCUUCCUUAACUUCAACCCACACCGGUCAUCAUUGGAACCCACAUUGCCAAUCGUUAUCGGCACCGCUUUCCGAAGACAAUCUCCACCACUCAAAGGACGUAGGGUAGACUAUGAAAAUUGAAAAUGUCGAUGUGCAAAAUAUGAAGUCAAAAUUAGAGCAAUUUGUGACACAAUUGAAUCAAUUGAGGGUAUACUCAUCAUUAUUUGGUGUUGUUGAGGGAUUAUGGGUUGAAUUUGGUGUAAAAAGACCAAUUUUGUGGAAACAAUACCCAAACCAUGUGAAUUGAUGGAAUUGCCUCGUUUUGUUGUCAAGCCAAACCUCUGUCAAAUGGAGCUGUUUUUGGACGAUGUCUCACCAUGAAUUGGAGCACCUGAAUGAGAUGAAUCGAUUGGCAACAAUGCCCGACUAUAUGUGCCAUUGGAGUUACCGAAUUUUAAAGUAGGACCGCACAACUAUAUGAGUUUUCUUGGUUUUAUUUUCAAAUGUACAGUGACAAAUAUGGUGGCAAUAGACGGAGACAGAAUUGUUAGUGGGUGGGGGUGAUGGCGACAGUGUGGGUCGAAGGUGGUGCGGUGACUGUUUUGGGUAAGGUUUGCCAGAGAAGAAGAAGAUAGGCGGUUUUGAUUGGGGAUGGGGUCUUUUUGGUUUUUUAUUUUUUAUUCCUAAUUUUUUUUUAUUUUUUAUAAUAUGAAAUUAACUAAGUUACCAUUUUAUCCUAACCAAAUUUGGUCAAUAUUAAUUCUUUGGCCAACUAACGGUCAAAGGGAUGGUUUUAAUCUAGUUGGACCUCUACUGCAUAUUUUCCAAAGGUUAAGGACCUUCGUUGGCACAAAACGAAGGUUAAGGUAAAGUUUGCAAAAAUUGAAAAUAUUUGAAAUCGUUGCUUCAAUUUUCCUUUUAAACUUUUCAAAAUGUCAAUUUGAUUUUUACGUAUAUCACAAUGAAU